UCUUGUCGGGGUGCCCAUCGGGCUGAGAAUUGGAGUGGAAUCACACCAAUAACCCGCGAACCUGAUCCGGUUAAUACCGGCGUAGGAAAUCGAGAU
rnacentral:ncRNA from 1 species